CAGCAGCCGCGGUAACACGUAGGUCCCGAGCGUUGUCCGGAUUUAUUGGGCGUAAAGCGAGCGCAGGCGGUUAGAUAAGUCUGAAGUUAAAGGCUGUGGCUUAACCAUAGUACGCUUUGGAAACUGUUUAACUUGAGUGCAAGAGGGGAGAGUGGAAUUCCAUGUGUAGCGGUGAAAUGCGUAGAUAUAUGGAGGAACACCGGUGGCGAAAGCGGCUCCCUGGUCUGUAACUGACGCUGAGGCUCGAAAGCGUGGGGAGCAAACAGGAUUAGAUACCCGAGUAGUCCCUGUCUCUUAUACA
rnacentral:rRNA from 1 species